CUCAAAGAAAUUGACGGGGGUCCGCACAAGUGGUGGAGCAUGUGGUUUAAUUCGACGCAACACGAAGAACCUUACCCAGGCUUGACAUGCUUGUGCACGAUAUCUGAAAGGAUAUCUUUUGACCUUCGGGUCGACACAAGUACAGGUGUUGCAUGGUUGUCGUCAGCUCGUGCCGUGAGGUGUUGGGUUAGGUCCUCUAACGAGCGCAACCCCUAUUGCUAGUUGCCAUCAGGUAAUGCUGGGAACUCUAGCGAGACUGCCUGGGAUAACCAGGAGGAAGGUGGGGAUGACGUCAAAUCAUCAUGGCCCUUAUGUCUGGGGUGACACACGUGCUACAAUGGCAGGUACAGCGGGUUGCGAAGCCGUGAGGUGGAGCCAAUCCCUAAAAGCCUGUCCCAGUUCGGAUUGGAGUCUGAAAUUCGACUCCAUGAAGUUGGAAUCACUAGUAAUCGUGGAUCAGCCAUGCCACGGUGAAUACGUUCCCGGACCUUGUACACACCGCCCGUCACACCACGAAAGUUAUUUGUACCAGAAGACAUCAAUCUAACCAGCAAUGGAGGUAGAUG
rnacentral:rRNA from 1 species